AAUCAACGCUGGCGGCGUGCCUCAGACAUGCAAGUCGAACGAUUAAAGCUCUCUUCGGAGAGUGCAUAGAGUGGCGCACGGGUGAGUAACACGUAAGUAAUCUACCUUCGAGUGGGGAGUAACGUCCGGAACGGACGCUAAUACCGCAUAAUGCAGCGGCAUCGCAAGAUGACAGUUGUUAAAGGAAGCAAUUCGCUUGAAGAGGAGCUUGCGGCAGAUUA
rnacentral:rRNA from 1 species